UACGUAGGGGGCAAGCGUUGUCCGGAUUUAUUGGGCGUAAAGAGCGUGUAGGCGGCCAGGUAGGUCCGUUGUGAAAACUCGAGGCUCAACCUCGAGACGUCGAUGGAAACCAUCUGGCUAGAGUCCGGAAGAGGAGAGUGGAAUUCCUGGUGUAGCGGUGAAAUGCGUAGAUAUCAGGAGGAACACCGGUGGUGUAGACGGCUCACUGGACCGUAACUGACGCUGAGACACGAAAGCGUGGGUAGCAAACAGG
rnacentral:rRNA from 1 species